CCCUUGGCUAUUCCGAGGGGCAUGCCUGUUUGAGUAUCAUGAACACCUCAACUCUCAUGGUUUGCCAUGAUGAGCUUGGAUUUUGGGGGUUUUGCUGGCCUGUGGUCAGCUCCUCUCAAAUGGAUCAGCUUACCAGUAUUUGGUGGCGUCACAGGUGUGAUAACUAUCUACGCUUGUGGUUGUCUGCUGAGUAACCUUUGGUGACAGAGGUUCGCUGGAGCUUAUAAAUGUCUUUCCUCAGUGAAGACAGCUUUUUGACCGUUCGAUCUCAAAUCAGGUAGGACUACCCGCUGAACUUAAGCAUAUCAAUAAGCGGAGG
rnacentral:rRNA from 1 species